AUGAAGGUUCAAGACAACAAGGAGAAAGAGAGAGAUACUUUGCGGUUAAGAACAUCAAUUGCAGUUGUGAAGUGGCUCACCUUCCAGUCUUGUGCUUUCAGAGGCCAUGAUGAGACACCCGAGUCAAGAAAUCGAGGGAACUUCAUUGAAUUGAUAAAGCUUCUCACAGAAUUCAAUCCCGAAAUCGCAGCUGUAGUUUUAGAGAAUUCUCCUAGGUGUAGCAAAUACACAUCCCAUCAAAUUCAACAGGAGAUAUUGAGUAUUUAUGCACUGAAGGUUAGGCGGUAUAUCCGCCAAGAGAUUGGUGAUUCAAAAUUCUCUAUUCUAGUGGAUGAAACAUGUGAUGCUUCUAAAAGAGAGCAAAUGGCAGUAGUGUUCAGAUUCCCCGAUAAAGAAGGUUUGUUACAAGAACGCUUCUUUGAUUUGAUACAUGUAAAGAACUCCAAAGCACUAACAUUAAAGGAAGAGUUGUCUGCUUUAUUGUCCAAUAAUGGCUUUGAUGUUCAAAAUUUGCGUGGCCAAGGAUACGAUGGGGCUAGCAACAUGAAGGGUGAGUUCAAUGGAUUACAAGCACUUUUCCUCAAAGAUUGUCCGUAUGCUUAUUAUGUACACUGCUAUGCACAUCGCCUGCAACUUGCCCUUGUUGCUGCAGCAAGAGAUGUUGUUCCUAUUAGCCAAUUUUUCCAGAAACUUCUCUACAUCAUAAACAUUGUUGACUCAUCGUCAAAGCGACAUGAUGAGCUACAUGAUGCCCAAGUUGUUGAGAUUGCACGUCUACUUGCAAUUGAUCAGAUUGAGACAAGCAAAGGGGGGAAUCAGAUCAAAGCAUUAAAGCGUCCAGGAGACACUCGAUGGGGGUCACACUUGGGUUCUAUAUCUAGCCUUAUGGAUAUGUUCAACGUAGUAAGUUCUACUCUACAAACUAUAGCUUCUGAUGCUUCUGCUGGUACACACCGAGCUGAUGCAGAUACUGCUUACAACUACUUGAUCGAUUUUGAGUUUGUGUUUGGCCUAUGUAUGAUGAGAGAGAUAUUGGAGAUCAGUGAAGAGCUUGGGAAAGCUUUGCAAAAGAAAAGACAGGAUAUAGUGAAUGCUAUUCGUUUAGUUUCAUCCACAAAGGCCCUUCUAGAAAAACUGAGAUCAGAUAAUGGUUGGGAUGAAUUUUUUACUACUGUUGUUGAGUUUUGCAUGGAUCAUGGCAUUGAGAUUCCUGAUGGAUGA
rnacentral:rRNA from 1 species